UUCUUCAAUUCAACGCCGACUACAAUAUAAUUUUACAUUAUUUUAUCGACAACGUCUGGUCAUUCCAUGAUGAUGUUGUCUUAGCGUCGAGCGAAGAUCGACUUGACCCGUUGCUGGGCACCUGGUUUUGAAAGGUCAUUCUGAUCCUUUCGGAUUUAUUGGGAAUCAGCUGUGGUCACAGAC
rnacentral:snoRNA from 1 species